rnacentral:rRNA from 1 species
GACGAACGCUGGCGGCGUGCUUAACACAUGCAAGUCGAGCGGUAAGGCCCUUCGGGGUACACGAGCGGCGAACGGGUGAGUAACACGUGGGUGAUCUGCCUUGCACUUUGGGAUAAGCCUGGGAAACUGGGUCUAAUACCGGAUAUGACCACUGAUCGCAUGGUUGGUGGUGGAAAGAUUUAUCGGUGUGAGAUGGGCCCGCGGCCCAUCAGCUUGUUGGUGGGGUAAUGGCCUACCAAGGCGACGACGGGUAGCCGGCCUGAGAGGGCGACCGGCCACACUGGGACUGAGACACGGCCCAGACUCCUACGGGAGGCAGCAGUGGGGAAUAUUGCACAAUGGGCGAAAGCCUGAUGCAGCGACGCCGCGUGAGGGAUGACGGCCUUCGGGUUGUAAACCUCUUUCGACAGGGACGAAGCGAGAGUGACGGUACCUGUAGAAGAAGCACCGGCCAACUACGUG